GCCCCCGUAGCUCAGUUGGUAGAGCAGCAACCUUUUAAGUUGAAGGUCGCAGGUUCGAAUCCUGCCGGGGGCA
rnacentral:tRNA from 1 species